AGAUCACUGGUUGAGUUUCCAGAAAUGUGACCAUAGGGUAGUCAGAAGUCCAGAGGAGGAACCUUUAGACCAGAGAGAAAACAGCCUUUUUACCCUGAGCAUUCACUGAGGGUUGGAAGGGAUGUCUACAGAAAUGAUUAUGGAAUAGCUUGGAACCCUCAGGCACAAGCCUUCAGCACACAGGCAGGUAGAAAGUGAUUUCUGCACUUCAAGAGCCUUGAGGGAACAACCACAAGGGCUCAAGCUCAGGAGCAAGGACUCCACAGAUGAAGACGCAUCCACAGAAUGACAGAAGAGGCACAACUGAAGAAUAAAUAAGAAGAUCACUUAAGCUGUUAUUUGGAGAAUGAUCGUGGGUGAGAGCAGGAAGGAAUAGCAAGAAAAGAGAUUGGGAUAAAAGUUAGAAGAACAUUAUGGGAUUCCAGAUUGGGACAUUAUCAAAAUGUCAUGGCAAAGAAUGCAUUUACUUCUGGGCCUUGAGGAAUGAACAAGAUUUGGACAGGUGACUACUGGCGCAUGAGAAGAUAUUAGAGUCCGAGAACUUGCAAGCGGAGGAAACAAUGAGUGGUUAUCAACAACAAUGUAGCUCAGUUGCUGUCCAAGAUAAGUUGCUGCACUGAAUCUACUGCAAUCAGGCCCCAAAAUACUAUGGCAUGGGCAAUAUGCCCAGAUGGACUAUUUUUUUGUAACAAUGUCUAUCAUACAAAUAUUCCCAGACAACAUAACCUGGAAAUUCAUAUGGAAUUACAUUUUUUGUAAUUCCCAAGUUUACUGAUUUCUUUCCCCACAAGUUGAACUCCCUCCUUCAAAGUCUUCCCAUCAAAUAUUCCCGUGAAUACACAGGAGUUGUGCAACAUAUGCUCACAAACAAUGAAAUUUAUGCUGAGCAUUCAUUCUACUCUACCAGGUCUCACAGUCUCUGUGUAUUGAUAAUUCCCCAAUUCCAGACAGCUAAGUCUUUCUUUGCAAAUUAAUUUCAGUCCAGAGAUCUCUUUACUUUCAGAAUGAAUUUUCUGGAGAAGCUAUUCAGAGGUCAUCCAAAUAGACUUCUAGUGGUCAUUCUUGCCAUUUAAUUCAAUAAAUAUACAUCAAUCAUCAAUUGUC